rfam:Myotis brandtii contig211816, whole genome shotgun sequence.
CCAAAGGCUCUUUUAAGAGCCAACAAAGUGUCAAAUCAAGGGCUG